rnacentral:rRNA from 1 species
CGAGGAAUAUUGCACAAUGGGCGCAAGCCUGAUGCAGUAACGCCGCGUGAGGGAUGAAGACCUUCGGGUUGUAAACCUCUUUUCAAUUUGACGAGUGAGGACGGUAAAGUUGGAAUCAGUCUCGGCUAACUACGUGCCAGCAGCCGCGGUAAGACGUAGGAGGCGAGCGUUAUCCGGAUUCACUGGGCGUAAAGCGCAUGUAGGCGGUUGGACAAGUCCUGUAUGAAAGCCCCUGGCUCAACUGGGGGAGGUUAUAGGAGACUGUACGACUGGAGGGCAGCAGAGGUCGGUGGAACUCCCGGUGUAGCGGUGGAAUGCGUAGAGAUCGGGAAGAACAUCAGUGGCGAAGGCGACCGACUGGGCUGCAUCUGACGCUGAGAUGCGAAAGUGUGGGGAGCAAACGGGAUUAGAUACCCCCGUAGUCC